rnacentral:rRNA from 1 species
UGCAGUCGAGCGCAGGAAGCAAGCAGAUCCCCUUCGGGGGUGACGCUUGUGGAAUGAGCGGCGGACGGGUGAGUAACACGUGGGCAACCUGCCUGUAAGACUGGGAUAACCCCGGGAAACCGGGGCUAAUACCGGAUAAUACUUUUCUUUGCAUAAAGGAAAGUUGAAAGGCGGUUUCGGCUGCCACUUACAGAUGGGCCCGCGGCGCAUUAGCUAGUUGGUGAGGUAACGGCUCACCAAGGCGACGAUGCGUAGCCGACCUGAGAGGGUGAUCGGCCACACUGGGACUGAGACACGGCCCAGACUCCUACGGGAGGCAGCAGUAGGGAAUCUUCCGCAAUGGACGAAAGUCUGACGGAGCAACGCCGCGUGAGUGAUGAAGGUUUUCGGAUCGUAAAACUCUGUUGUUAGGGAAGAACAAGUCGGGUAGUAACUGACCCGGCCUUGACGGUACCUAACCAGAAAGCCCCGGCUAACUACGUGCCAGCAGCCGCGGUAAUACGUAGGGGGCAAGCGUUGUCCGGAAUUAUUGGGCGUAAAGCGCUCGCAGGCGGUCCUUUAAGUCUGAUGUGAAAUCUCGCGGCUCAACCGCGAACGGUCAUUGGAAACUGGAGGACUUGAGUACAGAAGAGGAGAGUGGAAUUCCACGUGUAGCGGUGAAAUGCGUAGAGAUGUGGAGGAACACCAGUGGCGAAGGCGACUCUCUGGUCUGUAACUGACGCUGAGGAGCGAAAGCGUGGGGAGCGAACAGGAUUAGAUACCCUGGUAGUCCACGCCGUACACGAUGAGUGCUAGGUGUUAGGGGGUUUCCGCCCCUUAGUGCUGAAGUUAACGCAUUAAGCACUCCGCCUGGGGAGUACGGCCGCAAGGCUGAACUCAAAAGAAUUGACGGGGCCCGCACAGCGGUGGAGCAUGUGGUUUAUUCGAAGC